UCCCUAUAGUAGAGGAUAGACCCGGCGAAAGUCGGAUUAAUACUCUAUGUUGUUCAAUGCGGACAUCUAAGUUGAACCAAAGGUUUACCGCUAUAGGAUGGGGAUGCGUCUGAUUAGAUGGUAGGCGGGGUAACGGCCCACCUAGUCGACGAUCAGUAGGGGUUCUGAGAGGAAGGUCCCCCACAUUGGAACUGAGACACGGUCCAAACUCCUACGGGAGGCAGCAGUGAGGAAUAUUGGUCAAUGGGCGAGAACCUGAACCAGCCAAGUAGCGUGCAAGGAUGACGGCCCUAUGGGUUGUAAACUGCUUUUAUAUAGGGAUAAAGUGCACUACGUGUAGUGUUUUGUAGGUACUAUAUGAAUAAGGACCGGCUAAUUCCGUGCCAGCAGCUGC
rnacentral:rRNA from 1 species